rnacentral:rRNA from 1 species
AGUGAACGCUGGCGGUAGGCCUAACACAUGCAAGUCGAACGGCAGCACAGUAAGAGCUUGCUCUUACGGGUGGCGAGUGGCGGACGGGUGAGGAAUACAUCGGAAUCUACUUUUUCGUGGGGGAUAACGUAGGGAAACUUACGCUAAUACCGCAUACGACCUACGGGUGAAAGCAGUGGAUCUUCGGACCUUGCGCGAUUGAAUGAGCCGAUGUCGGAUUAGCUAGUUGGCGGGGUAAAGGCCCACCAAGGCGACGAUCCGUAGCUGGUCUGAGAGGAUGAUCAGCCACACUGGAACUGAGACACGGUACAGACUCCUACGGGAGGCAGCAGUGGGGAAUAUUGGACAAUGGGCGCAAGCCUGAUCCAGCCAGACCGCGUGGGUGAAGAAGGCCUUCGGGUUGUAAAGCCCUGUUGUUGGGAAAGAAAAGCAGCAGGUUAAUACCCCGCUGUUCUGACGGUACCCAAAGAAUAAGCACCGGCUAACUUAGUG